CCUGGCCGUGGCGGCCACAUUCGCAGCCUGUUGGGCAAUUCCCAGUCCCUGGAUGGUGGCAUCCCGAGUGUGCUGGCCAAUGCGUUCCUCCUCGGAUUGACCCAAGCUGAUGGCCAGGAUGAGCGCAACGAAGAUGAAGACCUUGUAGAAGUUCAUGUUGAGUGUUGGUAUUGAAUAUUCCUUGGAAACUAGGAGGUGGGCUUUGAGCUGUUGCUUUUGUUGCUGAUGCUGAGCGACUGAUGACUGAUACGACCAGUCAGUGCCUCUUUUAUAGCUCAUAUAGCUUCCCGAUGCUGAUAAGCCUCGCAGUGCAAAAACUCAACAAUUGAUGGAUGAACGAGGGGAUUUUGUUCGGCAAAAAAGUACACGGAUCAAAAGCAAAUACGGUGCAGAGCAAAAAAAAGCAAUUCUAAACCCUACCCAGAUUUCAAACAUCGCCCCACAAACCUUUGUCAUAUAAGAUGCAAAGCCAAAAUGUUGGGUAUUUCCGCAUUCUUUUAAUAAGCCCCACAGAAAAUGUUGUCAUAUGAAAUGGAUUUGUGGGGAAACCACCAAAAAUGCUUGUCAUGAAACGGAGACAACUAAAAAAUUGGGUGAAAUACAAAUGUUUUUUACUACAAAUCAAUUUAUGAAUGAAAUCUUUCGCGGGUUUUUCUGCUUCCCGAUUUCCGACUACAACUGUAUUCAAUAUGUGUGAAUAUGCCACUGACCCGAACGGGUUGAUAAUAUGACAAUGACGAAUGGGUUAAGCAAGCAAACACUUAAUAAAGAACCAGCGUUUCUUCCCAGUUAUCAGCAUGUUGCGUCGAUUGGUCCACUCUGCACUGGAGGUGCAAGCUGUGAAUCCCAGUGGAUUGGUUUGCGGGCAGAUUUUCUUGACUCUCCUGAAUACGUGACAUUUUUCAGUGUUCAACUAGUAAAGGCAAAUAUUCUAAACACAUUUAUAUAGCUUUGAACAAUGAGAAAGUUCUGCUGCAAGUUCUUUAAAGCAUUAACUUACAUUUGUUAUUUUGCAUUUGAGAUUGCAUUUUGGUAAAAUAGAAAUUACAGUUUACUAUUCCA